rnacentral:tRNA from 1 species
AUUUAAGUAGUUUAAAGAAAAUAUUGAUUUGUGGAGUCAAAGUUAUUAAGUAAUCUUAAAUU